UCCAGCACCUAUAUCACCCUGCAACACAACUAGCAACCCACUGGAGCUCAGCACGCGUGAGCCUAGCCAGUACCUGAAUGGGAAACCUCUUGGGAAAGCUAAGGCUGCUGCUGGAA
rnacentral:rRNA from 1 species